UGUCUGCAGGUCAUCAAGGCUGGAGUGGAGACAACCUGUAAAUGCCACGGUGUAUCUGGAUCCUGUACUGUCCGAACAUGCUGGAGGCAGCUCUCUCCAUUCCAUGAAAUAGGGAAGCAGCUGAAGCAGAAGUACGAGACAUCACUCAAAGUGGGAAGCACUACCAACGAGGCCACGGGGGAAGGAGACAUCUCUCCACCCAAGAAGUCCAUCACUGGUCACAGUGAUCAAAUCCCAAGGACUACGGAUCUUGUCUACAUUGACGAUUCGCCGAGCUUCUGUAUGAUGAGUAGAUACUCGCCUGGGACUUCGGGAAGGAAAUGUUACAAAGACAAGAACUGUGACAGCAUCUGCUGCGGGCGAGGGCACAAUACGCAAAGCCGGGUGGUCACCCGUCCGUGCCAGUGCCAGGUGCGUUGGUGCUGCUAUGUGGAAUGCAAGCAAUGCACCCAGAGAGAAGAGGUUUAUACCUGCAAAGACUGACGUGUCUUCUGCUUGGUGGCAACCCUCGGUGACGGGCGAUGGCGAUCUAUGAGAACUACGUAUGGAGACAAACAGGGUUUGAUUGACCUUCUGGGAUCUGAAAGCUAUGUUGAGACAUAAGCACUUUGUAGGGUACAGGUGACCCAGCUGUGUUGCUGUUUUGUUUUUUUGUUUUUGUUUUGUUUUCAUG